GUCGGUAUCGAUUAGGGGUUAAAUCACUUCGUUGUGGUCCGCUAUACCGAAGAGCCGCUGGUUCGAUUCCAGCUACCGACA
rnacentral:tRNA from 1 species